UCAAACACACGUUACCACUCACUCUCACUAUCAUCUCUCUCCCUCCACUCAUUUAAGAACCUACACCUACCUACCUACCACAAAAAAUCCUCACAAAUCUCUCAGACUCUCUCUCCCUACUACACACUAAAGAAAAGAAAGCGAAAAGAGGAAUGUUUCCUCUUCCUCGGAAACGCUUCCUCCGUCUCCACUAACCCUUACCACCUUUAAAACCAACCACCACACGCCUCGCUCAAUCGCCUUCACCGGAGAAAUCGAUCACCACCAACCACCCGUCUCCGCCAGUAACCCAACACCGCCUAAACGACCGCCGAAAACCUUCUCCACUCCUAUCGCUUAAAAACCCCCCGUCUCCAACCUCGAUGUUCACCCUUCUCCAUCCACAAACACCCUCGUCUAGCCGUCAACGGCCGACAACCACCGCAUAUCCGCCUACCUCCUUCGUCGUCCUUACACACCACAUCUCCGUCAUUUUCUUUCUUCAGCGAGAAAUCGUUUGCUCUUUCUAUUAUCAACAAGUCACUGGAAAACCGGCCACCACAAUUGCUAAUGAAGACCUCCACAUCUUCCGUCGUCACGCGAAGCAACUGCGUUGCCUUCCACCAACAGGAGUAGAGCUUUGAACGUGGGUCAGUAAUAAUGCAGCGCCUAGCCAUUACUUUUAUCCGUUCUCACAUCAACUCGGUAACAACUUAAAUUCUGAGUUUAUUCGGUUUUAUUGUGUACUUUGUCACGAGUAUUAAAUAUUUCAUUGCUAUUUGGCCACUGAUAUUCUGUUGUCAUGUUGAAUGAGUGUAGAUAAGUGUGUGAGAUACAAAUAAAUCGGUAAUACGAUGACUGUUUCUUUUCGCUUUGCUGAGGAUUUCUCCGUUUUUAUUUUAUAACAAUUAUGCAAUUGGAGGAAUGUGGUACCAUGGCUGUGUUUUAUUACAUUGCAUUUUAAACCAGAUUUUUAUCCUUGGCCUCAACGUCGGUCCGACGUUACGAUAACGGUUUGCAUCGUAUCCGCCUUGGUUUGGUAUUGUUUGCUGUAGUUGUUAUUUUUAUUUUUGAUUAUGUACAUGUUGAUUUGGUUGUAUACAAUGAUUUCUCUUCUGGUGCAUUUUCGAUAACAUAAUUCGAUCGCGUUGUUGCUUAUUUAAUUUAUAACGGAGUAUUACUUGUAGCUUUCACUCAUUGUGGUUCCCAUCAUAAAUCUGUUUCUAUUGUAUCUGUUUAAAGUGUGGAUAUGGUGUUUCAUUUGAUUUUGUUUCACUUCUCAAGAGAUUAAUAUAUUAUGGAUAUUUAAGCUACUUCUCAAGAAAUUCCCAUUCCGUCGUAUGCUUUCUCGUAUCUUCUUUUCCUUCACUCUCUUUUAUUCUUUUCCGGCUUUGACUAUGGAUAUGUAAUCUAGAAAUAUAAAUUUUCCAACUGCCCUCGUUUCAGCACAUACAUGUGAUGGAGGUUUAAUCAUGUUAAUUAUCCGUCCUUUUUACAAUUGCACAGGUCAUUGGUGUUCAUGGGUCAUUGCAGUGGUAGGCUUAUUCCAUGCUGUUUUUAUGUUCCUUAUAACCUGAUAAGCCUGACCAUUCGGUUUUCAAGAAGGAUAAUUAGAAUAUUUUUUGUUUUGUUUGUUCUUUAUAAAAAAACUAUAAAAAUUGAACUCUUUUUCAUUGAGGAAAAUGUUAUUAAUAGUUAUGUUAG
rnacentral:lncRNA from 1 species